UCGUCGGUGGCACAAAUGAUUUGCACUUGGCUGCUAACCAGAAGGUUGGUGGUUUGAAUCCACCCAGGGGAA
rnacentral:tRNA from 1 species